CAUCUAGAUCUACAAUCUGUUGAGUUAAUUUUUAUAUAAUGUGUUAAUCCACUUUUAAUUUUUUGCACAUGGCUGUCCCACUGUAGGAGUCUACAUAAAACAAUUUCCUCUUUGAUAAAGUAAGUGCUGAAAUAAUAAUAGUCCCAGAUGGAGCUCACUUUCUGAGGUCAUCCUUUCUUUUAUGCUUAAAAUGCAAAAGUCUCUCUGUGUACAAAUACAUUUGUACCAAAAAAAAGUGUAAGAACAAGGUGAGGAGAGAGGAGGUGCCGCUGCUGCUGCAGGUACCUCUGCUGGGUCACAAACUGCCC
rnacentral:lncRNA from 1 species